rnacentral:rRNA from 1 species
UCCAUUAUGUACAGCAUUGCGUGAGCUUCGCUCCUUAUGUUUAACCAUUCCUGAGCCUGUAAAGGUGUACGGAGGGUGAACGGACUACUUUGAGAAAAUUAGCGUGCUCAAUGCAGGCGACUGCUUGUAUACUUAUGCAUGGAAUAAUGAGAAAGGACCUCGGUUCUGUUUCGUUGGUUUCCGGAAGCUGAGGUAAUGAUUGAUAGGGACAAACGGGGGCAUUCGUAUUGUGGUGUUAGAGGUGAAAUUCUGUGAUCACCGCAAGACGAACAACUGCGAAAGCAUUUGCCAAGAAUGUUUUCAUUAAUCAAGAACGAAAGUUAGAGUUUCGAAGACGAUUAGAUACCGUCCUAGUUCUAACUAUAAACUAUGCCAACUGGGCAUCUGGCGAUUGCAUUUAUGCAUCGGCAGGCACCCUGCGGGAAACCAAAGUUAUUGGGUUCCGGGGGGAGUAUGGUUGCAAAAUCGAAACUUAAAGGAAUUGACGGAGGGGCACACCAGAAGUGGAGCCUGCGGCUCAAUUUGACUCAACGCACGAAAACUUACUCGGUCCGAACACCGUGAGGAUUGACAGGUUGAAAGCUCUUUCUUGAUUCGGUGGGUGGUGGUGCAUGGCCGUUCGUAGUUGGUGGAGUGAUUUGUCUGGUUUAUUCCGAUAACGAACGAGACUCUAGCCUAUUAAUUAGUGAGACGAGCGAACCGCUUUUGCGGCGAUGCCGUUCAGUCACUUCUUAGAGGGACAAGUGUCGUGAGACACUCGAAGUUGAGCAAUAACAGGUCUGUGAUGCCCUUAGAUGUUCGGGGCUGCACGCGCGCUACAAUGGAGGCUUCAAAAAGCGUUCCUGAUCCGAAAGGAGCAGGGAAUCAUAAAUAGCCUUCACGAUUGGGAUCGGAGAUUGUAAUUAUUCUUCGUGAAAGAGGAAUUCCUAG